rnacentral:rRNA from 1 species
GACGAACGCUGGCGGCGUGCUUAACACAUGCAAGUCGAACGGAAAGGCCCUGCUUUUGUGGGGUGCUCGAGUGGCGAACGGGUGAGUAACACGUGAGUAACCUGCCCUUGACUUUGGGAUAACUUCAGGAAACUGGGGCUAAUAUCGGAUAGGAGCUCCCGCUGCAUGGUGGGGGUUGGAACGUUUCGGCCGUUGGGGAUGGACUCGCGGCUUACCAGCUUGUUGGUGGGGUAGUGGCUUACCAAGGCUUUGACGGGUAGCCGGCCUGAGAGGGUGACCGGCCACAUUGGGACUGAGGUACGGCCCAGACUCCUACGGGAGGCAGCAGUGGGGAAUAUUGCACAGUGGGCGGAAGCCUGAUGCAGCAACGCCGCGUGCGGGAUGACGGCCUUCGGGUUGUAAACCGCUUUCGCCUGUGACGAAGCGUGAGUGACGGUAAUGGGUAAAGAAGCACCGGCUAACUACGUG